CCAGCAGACCCUUUUUUUCCAGAUAGGGGUUGUGAACCCGCCCGGGGAUGAGGCCUGGUCUUAUGGAAAGGACUGAGUUUCACGGGGCGGACACCUCUGGCCCCGGGUGGUAUGUAAU
rnacentral:lncRNA from 1 species